rnacentral:rRNA from 1 species
AGAGUUUGAUCCUGGCUCAGAUUGAACGCUGGCGGAAUGCUUUACACAUGCAAGUCGAACGGUAGAGGGGGCAACCCCUUGAGAGUGGCGAACGGGUGAGUAAUAUAUCGGAACGUGCCCAGUCGUGGGGGAUAACGUAGCGAAAGUUACGCUAAUACCGCAUACGAUCUAAGGAUGAAAGCGGGGGAUCGCAAGACCUCGCGCGAUUGGAGCGGCCGAUAUCAGAUUAGGUAGUUGGUGGGGUAAAGGCUCACCAAGCCAACGAUCUGUAGCUGGUCUGAGAGGACGACCAGCCACACUGGAGCUGAGACACGGUCCAGACUCCUACGGGAGGCAGCAGUGGGGAAUUUUGGACAAUGGACGCAAGUCUGAUCCAGCCAUUCCGCGUGCAGGAUGAAGGCCCUCGGGUUGUAAACUGCUUUUGUACGGAACGAAAAGGUUUCCAUUAAUACUGGGGGCUCAUGACGGUACCGUAAGAAUAAGCACCGGCUAACUACGUGCCAGCAGCCGCGGUAAUACGUAGGGUGCAAGCGUUAAUCGGAAUUACUGGGCGUAAAGCGUGCGCAGGCGGUUAUGUAAGACAGAGGUGAAAUCCCCGGGCUCAACCUGGGAACUGCCUUUGUGACUGCAUAGCUUGAGUGCGGCAGAGGGGGAUGGAAUUCCGCGUGUAGCAGUGAAAUGCGUAGAUAUGCGGAGGAACACCGAUGGCGA